GAAAAGAACCCCGGGAGGGGAGUGAAUAGAACCUGAAACUAUGUGCUUACAAGCGGUCAGAGCCCGCAAGGGUGAUGGCGUGCCUUUUGGUAGAAUGAUCCUGCGAGUUACGUUCAGUGGCGAGGUUAAGUAUAACGGAGCCGAAGGGAAACCGAGUCUGAAUAGGGCGAUUUUAGUCGCUGGGCGUAGACGCGAAACCUGGUGAUCUAAGCCUGUCCAGGGUGAAGCUGUGGUAAGACACAGUGGAGGCCCCGAACUCACCGCGUCGACGCGGCCGGGUCGUGGGAGGCAAG
rnacentral:rRNA from 1 species